rnacentral:tRNA from 1 species
AUCUGUAUAAUAUAUAAAGUAUAUAUAACUUCCAAUCAUAAAGUCUAUUAUUAAUAGUACAGAUA